GGGGGCGUAGCUCAGUUGGCAGAGCGUCUGGUUUGCAACCAGAAGGUCGUGGGUUCGAAUCCCUUCGCCUCCACCA
rnacentral:tRNA from 1 species